UUUUGAUACGAGACCUCGCAGUCUCCGAGCGAGCCUCGAUUCGUACGCGCUGGCUGAGACACGUCCUCGUCAUCGCCGUUGUCGCGCUACCGAUUAUCAAAUCUCUAUUAGCGACAGCGAAUCACUCGUAAAACGAAACUUUACUGUCCGCUUUCUCGGCCGCGUCUCAGGGAGCCCCGAAGGCGCCGCGACGGAAGCCAGCGAAGGAUAAAGGGCGGAGAACCGGAAGAACAGGGUGGAAAUAAACGGGCAAACGAUCAGUGGAUCACAGGAUUACAGUUUUCAUCGAGGAUCGGUAACGAUGCGUUUCACGACGUUGAUAUCAGCGUUGAGCCUGUGUGUCCUUUGCAUCCUUAUCGAUCGUACCAGCGGGUUCAGUAGGAUUCUGGAUAAGGAUAUCAUCUACUCCCCGGAACAAGUAGAGUACAUCCAACUAUCCACUGCGAGAUGUCCUGAUAACACGAUCCUGUGGCUGGGUGACCGUCGGUGUUACAGAGAGGGUGAACAAGGUCCCUGCAACAUCGGGCGAGUGCUGGUCUUGCAUCCGCUCUAUCUGAAACCUUUCUGCAAGGAUGUAGCGUUGGAGUGAAACGAUUAUCGUACAAGAUGUUUUUUAUCGACUGCGUGCAACUCUGCCAAAGAUGGCAGCACGUAUACAAAACUACUGUGUGCUCAAUCAAGAAAUUAUUAUUAUUAAUUUUAGAAUAAUGAAAAUUGCGUCCCACCGUUUCGUCGUUAUCAUAUUUAAUUAUUUAAUGGCAUUCUUUUUGUUUUCAUUAAAAAAGAAUCGAUUCAUUCUGUUAUACGAUUGAUUCCUAUUUAGCUAUAUUGUUUAAAUUUCGUGUAGAUUAAUUUCAAAUGGCGCCAAGUACUUACGUUUGAAAACUUGACUCUUGUGUUGUGAAUUUAGAGGAAUCUGAAAGACCUCGACGUUCUGGAAUUGUUCUAGGUUUCGUUAUAAUGUUUUUAAAAGACGCUUUGUUAAGACUUGAGUAAAUGAUUUCAUCAAAUAUAGGUAAUAAAUUCGCAAUGCUUAUAUUUU